GACGAACGCUGGCGGCGUGCUUAACACAUGCAAGUCGAACGGUGAAGCGCCUUCCUUUUUGGUGGGUGUGGAUGAGUGGCGAACGGGUGAGUAACACGUGAGUAACCUGCCCCCUUCUUCUGGAUAACCGCAUGAAAGUGUGGCUAAUACGGGAUAUUCUGGGUCUGUCGCAUGAUGGGUCUGGGAAAGAUAUUGUUUCGGUGGGGGAUGGGCUCGCGGCCUAUCAGCUUGUUGGUGGGUGAUGGCCUACCAAGGCGGUGACGGGUAGCCGGCCUGAGAGGGUGGACGGUCACACUGGGACUGAGCCACGGCCCAGACUCCUACGGGAGGCAGCAGUGGGGAAUAUUGCACAAUGGGCGCAAGCCUGAUGCAGCGACGCCGCGUGAGGGAUGGAGGCCUUCGGGUUGUGAACCUCUUUCGCCAGUGAAGCAGGCCUGCCUCGUUUGUGGGUGGGUUGACGGUAGCUGGAUAAGAAGCGCCGGCUAACUACGUG
rnacentral:rRNA from 1 species